UACGUAGGGGGCAAGCGUUGUCCGGAUUUAUUGGGCGUAAAGAACUCGUAGGCGGUUUGUCGCGUCUGCUGUGAAAACUCGAGGCUCAACCUCGAGACGCCGGUGGAAACCAUCAGACUAGAGUCCGGAAGAGGAGAGUGGAAUUCCUGGUGUAGCGGUGAAAUGCGCAGAUAUCAGGAGGAACACCAAUGGCGAAGGCAGCACUCUGGGACGGUACUGACGCUGAGACGCGAAAGCGUGGGGAGCAAACAGG
rnacentral:rRNA from 1 species